GAUGAACGCUGGCGGCGUGCCUAAUACAUGCAAGUCGAGCGAACAGACGAGGAGCUUGCUCCUCUGACGUUAGCGGCGGACGGGUGAGUAACACGUGGAUAACCUACCUAUAAGACUGGGAUAACUUCGGGAAACCGGAGCUAAUACCGGAUAAUAUAUUGAACCGCAUGGUUCAAUAGUGAAAGACGGUUUUGCUGUCACUUAUAGAUGGAUCCGCGCCGCAUUAGCUAGUUGGUAAGGUAACGGCUUACCAAGGCAACGAUGCGUAGCCGACCUGAGAGGGUGAUCGGCCACACUGGAACUGAGACACGGUCCAGACUCCUACGGGAGGCAGCAGUAGGGAAUCUUCCGCAGUGGGCGAAAGCCAGACGGAGCAACGCCGCGUGAGUGAUGAAGGUCUUCGGAUCGUAAAACUCUGUUAUUAGGGAAGAACAAAUGUGUAAGUAACUAUGCACGUCUUGACGGUACCUAAUCAGGAAGCCACGGCUAACUACGUG
rnacentral:rRNA from 1 species